rnacentral:rRNA from 1 species
GACGAACGCUGGCGGCGUGCUUAACACAUGCAAGUCGAACGGAAAGGCCCUGCUUGCGGGGUACUCGAGUGGCGAACGGGUGAGUAACACGUGGGUGAUCUGCCCUGCACUUCGGGAUAAGCCUGGUAAACUGGGUCUAAUACCGGAUAGGAGCCAUUUUUAGCGUGAUGGUUGGAAAGUUUUUUCGGUGUAUGAUGAGCUUGCGGGCUAUCGGCUUGUUGCUGUGGUAAUGGCCUACCAAGGCGGCGACGGGUAGCCGGACUGCGGGGGUGACCGGCGAUCUAGAGACUGAGGGGAGGCCGAGGCAGCGACUGGUGGCCGCAGGGCGGAAGAUUGACCGAUCAGCGCAACCCGAGUGCAGCAGGUCCGCGUGGGGGAUGACGGUCUUCGGAUUGUAGAAUAAAUGCGCAAGGGACGAUGCUUGUUUUGACGGUACCUAGAUAGAAAGCCACGGCUAACUACGUG